rnacentral:rRNA from 1 species
CCAAUAGCGUAUAUUAAAGUUGUUGCAGUUAAAAAGCUCGUAGUUGAAUUUCGGGAUUUAUCCGUUGGUCGGGCUUUUGGGUCUGUACUGGCGUGAUGGAUUUCUACCUUCUGAAUAUCCGGCAUGUCAUUAAUUUGGUGCGCCGGGGAAGCAGGACUAUUACCUUGAAAAAAUUAGAGUGCUUAAAGCAGGCUAUUGCCUGAAUACAUUAGCAUGGAAUAAUGAAAUAGGACGGCAUGGUUCUAUUUUGUUGGUUUCUAGGAUCACCGUAAUGAUUAAUAGGGAUAGGUGGGGGCAUUAGUAUUCAAUUGUCAGAGGUGAAAUUCUUGGAUUUAUUGAAGACUAACUUCUGCGAAAGCAUUUGCCAAGGAUGUUUUCAUUAAUCAAGAACGAAAGUUAGGGGAUCGAAGACGAUCAGAUACCGUCGUAGUCUUAACCAUAAACUAUGCCGACUAGGGAUCGGACGAUGUUAAUUUUUUAAUGACUCGUUCGGCGCCUUACG